rnacentral:tRNA from 2 species
AGCCCCGUAGUGUAGUGGUCAAUCAUGCGGGCCUUUGGAGCCUGUGACGGAGGUUCGAAUCCUCCCGGGGCUACCA